rnacentral:lncRNA from 13 species
AUGGGUUUCAGUAGGCUGUUAGGGGCAUCAGAGAACUCGGCAUUAAGGACCUCGAAAAAACAGAAACUAGCAAAGCAUGCUGACAGAUUAAUAAAAGUUCUCAAAAUGUGCUUGUUUCACCUUUGCCCUUGCAACAUGACUGUAAUUUUCCUGAGGCCUCUCCAGCCAUGCUUCCUGUACAUUCUGCAGAACUGUGCAGGUGAUUGGUGUGUGAAUACAAUACUUUUGGAUAUCCAGCAUUCUGCCAACAGUGGAAAGUUGGCCAGAGACCAAAGAGCCAAGAUGAUCUCAGGAGGGCUGAUCCAGACGGAAGCAUCCAGAAAUCAUCAUUUAUAG